GACGAACGCUGGCGGCGUGCUUAACACAUGCAAGUCGAACGAAGUGGCGAACGGGUGAGUAACGCGUAAUCAACCUGCCCUUCAGAGGGGGACAACAGUUGGAAACGACUGCUAAUACCGCAUACUGAGGGAGGGGAUUGCGUCUGAUUAGCUGGUUGGAGGGGUAACGGCCCCCCAAGGCGAGGAUCAGUAGCCGGACUGAGAGGAUGGACGGCCAAAUUGGGACUGAGACACGGCCCAGACUCCUACGGGAGGCAGCAGUGGGGAAUCUUCCGGAAUGGAAGAAAGUCUGACGGAGCAACGCCGCGUGAGUGAUGACGGCUUUCGGGUUGUAAAGCUCUGUUAAUCGGGACGCGGUACCGGAAUAGAAAGCCACGGCUAACUACGUGCCAGCAGCCGCGGUAAUAC
rnacentral:rRNA from 1 species